rnacentral:lncRNA from 1 species
AUAUUCAUAAUAAUUACAUUAGAUUCAGAAAUUCAGGAAUAUUUUAACAUACAUAUGUACUAAAAAAUACCUUAGUUAUCAGAAGGGAGUGUUUCAUUUUGUUCUUUUAACAAAUGGUUGCUUUUAUUCUUUUGAGAAUAUUUGUUUCCUAGGUGAAUGAGAGCUAAUCUUUUAUGCAUGAAGGGCCUAAAGUGCUCUGAUUUAUAUUAAUAAAUAUAUUGACAAUUUAGGAAACAUAGAAUCCUUUAGACCUUUCCUAUAGAGAAGAAGAGUAGUCUUUGCAAAUUUGCUUUACAUUGGUGAAAAAAGUCAUCAUGGCUCACCGCAACCUCCACCUCCUGGGUUCAAGCGAUUCUCCUGCCUCAGCCUCCCAAGUAGCUGGGAUUACAGGCAUGUACCACCAUGCCCGGCUAAUUUUUUUAUUGUUAGUAGAGACGGGGUCUCUUCAUUUUGGUCAGGCUGGUCUCUCCUGGGGAACAAUAGUAGUUUGAACUUUAAUUUACUGUGCAGUUAGAGCAAUUUAAUAUCUUCAUAGAGUGCUUAUUAUCCUAUAUUAUAUAAAAUCCUGUGAUCAUUUUGUUAAGACUUAAAUAAGUGUGAAUAGAAGCUUGGCUUUAUUUCUGAGUGUAUAAAAGUGUUGGCAUGUACAAAGCCAGUGGAAGGAUUGCCGUUUUUGAGAGUGUCUUCUUAUACUGAUCACCUCUGAAAUAAAGCCUGUCGGUAAGAUUCAUGCCCAGAAAUGCUGAAGACAAGCACCAGUACCUUCAGUACCUUCAGCUGUGAUUCUCCUGAACAGCAACACUUGAUUUGUUAACUGGAGCUAACCCUUCUCCCCUCAGUCUGUACCUUACCUAUUGCCUGCAGUUGGUGUGUGGGUUAAAAAUUAAGCACCAGCUGGGCAGUGUGUGCCUUACAGGCCGGAGGAUUGCUUGAGCCCAGGAGUAUUGGGCUGUAUCACACUAUGCUGACAGGGUGGUCGCACUAAGUUCAGCAUUAAUGGGGUGACCUCCUGAGAGCUGGGGACCACCAGGUUGCCUAAGGAGGGGUGAAUUGGCCCAGGUCAGAAAUGUAGCAGGUCAAAACUCCUAUGCUGAUCAGUACUGGGAACAUGCCCAUGAAUAGCCAUCACACUCCAGCCUGGGCAACACAGUGAGACCCUAUCUCUUAAAAAAGAAAAAUAAAGCACCAAUGGGAUGGGAAAUUUCAGAUUUCUAGACAUAAAUGAGAGUGCUCAUAAAAACUCUGGGGACUUUUUGUUCAUGAAUUAACUGAUUA